rnacentral:rRNA from 1 species
GAUGAACGCUGGCGGCGUGCCUAAUACAUGCGAGUCGAGCGAACAGACGAGGAGCUUGCUCCUUUGACGUUAGCGGCGGACGGGUGAGUAACACGUAGGUAACCUACCUAUAAGACUGGGAUAACUUCGGGAAACCGGAGCUAAUACCGGAUAAUAUUUCGAACCGCAUGGUUCGAUAGUGAAAGAUGGCUUUGCUAUCACUUAUAGAUGGACCUGCGCCGUAUUAGCUAGUUGGUAAGGUAACGGCUUACCAAGGCAACGAUACGUAGCCGACCUGAGAGGGUGAUCGGCCACACUAGAACUGAGACACGGUCCAGACUCCUACGGGAGGCAGCAGUAGGGAAUCUUCCGCAAUGGGCGGAAGCCUGACGGAGCAACGCCGCGUGAGUGAUGAAGGUCUUCGGAUCGUAAAACUCUGUUAUUAGGGAAGAACAAACGUGUAAGUAACUGUGCACGUCUUGACGGUACCUAAUCAGAAAGCCACGGCUAACUACGUG